rnacentral:lncRNA from 1 species
UGUUUCCUUUUUCAAUUCCAAGUUGAAGGGGAACAUUCUGUCUCCUUUAUUGGCUCUAUAGUUGGAAAACAUAGACCUCACUCUUGUAAUUUUGAAUCUGCUCAUCUGUGACAGUGGGGAGAGCCGCCUAUUGGAUUUCUGACAGGUUGGAUCCUGAGGUAGACAUGCACUGAGAGGCGGGGACCUCCACCCUCCACCCAAGGCUCUAGGGGGUACAGUGGGCCUGGGGAUCCCCCCGCCUGGCUGUAACUGCCCCUCCUCCAUGACUCCCAGGACAGGAGCCUGGGCUAUUGCACUCCAUUAGCAGGGGCAGCUCUGUUUCCCAGCAGGGGGCUUGGAAGGCCUACUUCCACGUUUCUGUGUCCCCUGGGCAGAGGGAGUCCUGCAGAACGUGACAGGGUGAUGUUUGCUCUUAUCUUCAGUUGGAGCCAAGACUCAGGAACUCUGGCAUUAUGGCUGUGGUCACAGAAAAAUCGUCCUCCCCUGGCCUCCUGGCUCUGUCCUCUCCCCAAGGACCAAGCGCCCCACCCAUCUGAGCCUUUGUUUGUGCAUCUAGAGCCCUGAAGCGUGGGCAGGAAGAGAACUGAAAGCACCUGGUCCAGUAGCCUCUGUAUAUGGAACUGGGAGAAGUGGCCCAGGACAGAGGCAGGGACGCAAAGCCCUCCUAGGCCGGUGUCCACCUGCAGUGGAUCACCAGCUCCGCAGAAGCCGCACAGCCAUUGUUCACGUUCUAUAGCUAAGCGGAAGUCGGAGGGUCGAAGACCUGCCCAGGGUCUGCGGGCAGUCAUUUGUAGGCCGGGGACUCAGACACGCUAGCCUGGGGCAGGCGAUGCAGAGAGCCUUUCUCCAGAGGAGAUGGACAGGUGGACAGACAGGCAGCUCUAAGGCCCUCAAGACCCAGGUGUCUGGAGUUAGGAACCACCUCUGCUUUCCUUCUCAGCCCAUGGGCUCCCGGUGGGGAAAGGCCUUC